ensembl:ncRNA K10D6.6 ncRNA
GAGCUAUUUGCAUGUUUACACAAUUUGACCUAUAGUGCUCGAAUGGUUUGAGCACUUACCGUCCCAUCACGCACCGCACCUUUCUAUUCUUUCUAUUGGUCUCCUUAUUAUUUGUUGACAGCUGUUUUCACGUCUUCUGUCAUUUACCUCAUUGGGCCUUUUGAACAACAUGGCAGCAAAGAGUGCGGUGGCGGCGGUCAGAUCAAAACGUACUACUGUCAAAUCAACAGUAAAUAUACCUAAUCGGACCUCCAAGGAGUGAGGUGUUUAAUAGUCAAACAAGGGUCCGAAAUACGGAAGUUUAAUGCGGCAAUUUUGCGCCCACGAAUACAUGGUACAUGGUGAUCAAGCGGCGACGAACGACGACGACGACAAUGGCGUCGACGGUGCCGACGACUUUUUGUUCCGAGGAAAUACAUACUUUACAAGCCGAGAACUAGUGAGAAAGAUUCCAAGAGCAUUUGGAUUGAAAACAUUUUGCAAUAAUUCAGAGAAAUUCAAUCGGUUACAGGGAUAACGUCAAGAUACAUUUUCCGGUACACAGGUUGUGUGGAUGAGACUCGGGAAUGUUUAAAAGAAGUUGUGAAUGGGCACAGAUUAACUGAUAAAUAAGCCGAUUUAUAAACCUUCUUUUGGUGUUUACUGACACAGUAAGCCAAUAAGACGACUAGAACGUGGCACAAACUCAAAGUAGCGCGUCGAAAACUGAAAAGCCGAUUAUGAAUAAGGUGCUGAAUGGUUGGGUGAACGAGACACACUGUUUAAUUUUUUUAAGUUUCAAUCUCUGCACUACAAUAAAAUGAAAAACUUAUGAAUUUUAAGAAAUCUAGAAGUUAUAAAGUGAUAUUUCGAAUAACCCAUCAUAUAAACUUGCAGAGUCACAUAACCAUUCACUUUUUCGUGGCGAUGACCGAGUUUAUUGGUUUUGAGCAAACUAUUUCUAGAGGAUAAUCGGUUUUUUAGCCGCUUGUGACAUCAUAAGCCAGUUGAUAAUUACGCAAGAGCCGUCAUAACACUUCUCGAAAGUUAGUCGGUACGACAGUUGACAGUUUCAGAGGUCGAGCGGCACUUUUUCUUUUAACUCAAAAUUGCGCAAUCCGCCCCGAGCAACCUGCCAGAUUUCCUCUCGUUUACACCUCAUAAAACCAUCAACGCUAGACGAUUUAUGUGAGUGUGCUCCGGUGGUAAUACGAUAAUUUGUUCUCGAAAAUGAUGGGGAAUCGAGGGAUCUAGGAGGAGAGGAGGAUGCUUUUGGAUUUAUUAGACCUGAAAAAACAGCUCGAAAAUUGAAAAUUUUCAAUUACUGUUUCGAGUCGAAUUUUUGACGAUAAAUGGCCAAUUUUAUAAUGCUAUUGGAUCUUCGAAAAUUAGUCUUGCAGCCUCUAAUAGUUUUGCAGUCUCUAUUAGUCUUGCACCCCUACGGGUCAAUCGAAAAUUAGUCUUGCAUGCAAGACUGAUAGAGGAAACACGUUGCGAAAUUUGAAAAAAGUGGACAGACAGAAGGACAGAAGCUCUCCGAAUUGGUAAUUGAUAAGCCUGGGAGCCAAUCAAAGCAAUAAAAUUGAAUUGCAUCGUCGGAAAAGCAGUGUGUAACGACUGUCCUAAUCUACUCUCACCUUUCCGUAUAAUUUAUGACAGUCAAUCAGGCUCCAAGGCACGCGUGCUCAAUCCAAAUGUACAUGUUGAAGAACUUGUCGAAAACUUGAACGAA